GUCCCGCAACGAGCGCAACCCUUAAGCUUAGUUGCCAUCAUUAAGUUGGGCACUCUAAGUUGACUGCCGGUGACAAACCGGAGGAAGGUGGGGAUGACGUCAAAUCAUCAUGCCCCUUAUGAUUUGGGCUACACACGUGCUACAAUGGACAAUACAAAGGGUAGCGAAACCGCGAGGUCAAGCAAAUCCCAUAAAGUUGUUCUCAGUUCGGAUUGUAGUCUGCAACUCGACUACAUGAAGCUGGAAUCGCUAGUAAUCGUAGAUCAGCAUGCUACGGUGAAUACGUUCCCGGGUCUUGUACACACCGCCCGUCACACCACGAGAGUUUGUAACACCCGAAGCCGGUGGAGUAACCAUUUGGAGCUAGCCGUCGAAGGUGGGACAAAUGAUUGGGGUGAAGUCGUAACAAGGUAGCCGUAUCGGAAGGUGCGGCUGGAUCACCUCCUUUCUAAGGA
rnacentral:rRNA from 1 species